ACGCCGACGCCGACGCCGGCGGCCGCUCCUUACACCCGCGCGUCAACAUGGCCGUGCCCGUCACCGCCGUCGCCGGCACGCUGCGCGCCUUCAUGCAGACACGCGACUUGUCCAUCCUGCAGCAGCUGGACUGCAAGGACGAGGCAGUGCAGCGCGAGUGGCGGCUGGACGCGAGGCGCUCCUCUCUGUGACGUCUGCUGGCCAACACGAGGGCAGCCACUUAACUCUCCUGCGGGCUGCAAGUUCACGGGCGUCGAUUUGUCACAUGCAGACGUCGCAACCUCCACUUGACUCUCUAUCACCACCGAAAUUAUUCGUUCUGUGGGAGAGCUGCUGCCGUAGGCAAGAAUGCAUUCCAGUGCCUUAUCCUAAGACUUCUAGAUGCCAGAUGAAGCGUCUCCUCGUGUAGUGAUGAGCAGAGAAACAAUUCACUUUGACAGCGACUUAAAAUGUGGGACUGUACAAACUAUGAAUGCAUUUUUCCUUGACAAAUUUUUCCGGAUUAUCGACCGUGUAGCAGCGUCGUCUUGAAGCAAAGUUUCCAUAUGUAUUCUACACGUAAUCUUCAGUUGAACUGACGGAAUCACUCUUUUUCACUGCAUUCGCUCCUCUGAUGAUGGGGAGGGUGCUUCCAGGCUGCGAGUUUGGUCUUUCGACCCGAGACUAUUAUGUAGGUUAUAACAUUUAUUUCGGGUAAUGUAAGGUCAGUUAUAUCUCCCAAUUUGGAAAUUAUUUGUAGGGAUUAACAGGGACCAGCCGAGCAUUGCAUGAUGGCCAAUGGAAGCCUCCGAAAACCAUGGUCUUUUUAUAUAAGAAGUCAUCGUUUAUAAAUUCUGGAACAAGUGCCUCCACGUCUCGUUUGAGGUAGCGUGUGGUCGACAGUCGAAAGGCAGAAUUCAGCCGUUGGAGAGUGGUGGUGGUGGCGAGCGACUGGACAGCAUUGUUGGAGCUGCCGGUCCACUCCUUCCGCUGGCAGCGGCACUCGUCGUGAAUUUGCCGCACAGUGCUGUACAUAGGUACAAACGACACUUCCUGCUUAACUAGGGCUUCAGAUCAGAGUCGCAGAAAUCAUUAGCUGUGUGGAGCAUUCACAAAGCGUUCGUCUCGGCAACACAAGAAGGACACAGAUUCUACUUUGAACAGACGAAAGGUCUACGUCGUUCCAUGGUUGGCUCUGGAGCACUACGAUUAACGAUACAAUGAAAAUAAGGGCAAGUGGCUAUGUAAUAAACUUGUACACGGGUUUUCCUGAAGUUCCACAUGAAGUGUCGCAUCAUGGAAAAUUCGCCAACAAUGUUCCCCGGCAGAGUGUAACGCAAGCAGAGAUAACAGCGGUGGAACGCGUCUCUCAGUCCCCACAUCCUCUACAAAUGGCAGCGUCUCCGUCUUCUGAACUCACUGAGUUGGUCUCCCUCACAUUCCUUUGAGAGAGGAUUUGGUCCAGGAAGACUGUCGUCCUGCAGUAAUACAGCACUGAGGAUCUGCUCCUACAGAACAACCAAAUCACAACUGAUCAAGAGGCUGGAAUGCUUCGGUACACAUCAAAAGCAGUACAUGAACUUCUAAAAUUCGGAGUAUUGUACUUCGAAACUGAGUGAGGUGUCGCCGUGGUAAGGCGCGGCACUCGUAUUGCGGAGGAUGGCGGUUCAUAACCCGUUUGACCAUCCAGAUUUAGAUUUUCCAUGAUUUCCCUAUAUCUCUGAACGUGAAUACUGGGAUGAUUUAUUUGAAAAGGCGCGACUGAUUUCCUUCCCUAUGCUACUCCAACCGGAAUUGUACUACGCCUCUAACGAUGUGGUCAACUACGGGAUGUUAAACCCUCAUCUUCUUUUUACAUUUUAGACACCACAGCAAUCAGCGAACCACAAUACGAACUCGUCAAGGACAUAACAGACGUGAAGAGGAACUGAGCAGUAAAUGAAGCGA